rnacentral:lncRNA from 1 species
GAGUUUCGCUCUUGUUGCCCAGGCUGCAGUGCAAUGGCGUGAUCUCGGCUCACUGCAACCUCUGCCUCCCGGGUUCAAGCAAUUCUCCUGCCUCAGCCUCCCAAGUAGCUGGGUUUACAGGCAUGCACCACCACACCCGGCUAUUUUGUAUUUUUAGUAGAGACGGGGUUUCUCCAUGUUGGUCAGGCUGGUCUGGAACUCUCAACCUUAGGUGAUCUGCCUGCCUUGGCCGUCCAAAGUGCUGGGAUUACAGGCGUAAGCCACUGAGCCUGGCCCAUUUUAUACAUUUUUAAUGUGUAUUCUUGCUUUUGGAAAAUGUGACCAGAGGACUAUUAAACUCUUUUAGCAUCGGUAUAGCAAGGAGGUAAAAAAACAAACAACAAAACAAACAAAAAAAACCCUUUUUGUAAAAUAGGAUUGAGUAUCGUUGGAUUGAGCACUUACCAAGCAACUGUGCCAGGCAUUUGUGUCCUUCAUUUAAUUCUUACAAGCCUGAGUGUUCGGUAUUUUAAUUUUAUAGGUGAACAAAUAGAAGCUGAGGGUGAAGGACCUACAGCUGUCACCUUCAUCUCUUCUCAACACUGCCAGCUGUCCCCUUGGAUCUCCCAGACAGACAACAGGGUUGUAGAUGAGCAUGAGAGUGUGGAGCAGAGUUGGCGAGUGCAAGUCGAGCCCAUCAACCUGGACAGCUGUCUCCGUGCUUUCACCAGUGAGGAAGAGCUAGGGGAAGAUGAGAUAUACUACUGUUCCAAGUGUAAGACCCACUGCUUUAGCAACAAAGAAGCUGGAUCUCUGGAGGCUUCCACCCUUCCUGAUUAUUCACCUUAAGCGAUUUCAAUUUGUAAAUGAUCAGUGGAUAAAAUCACAGAAAAUUGUCAAAUUUCCUCGGGAAAGUUUUGAUCCGAG